UACGUAGGGGGCAAGCGUUGUCCGGAAUUACUGGGCGUAAAGGGCUCGUAGGCGGCCAACUAAGUCAUACGUGAAAUCCCUCAGCUUAACUGGGGAACUGCGUGUGAUACUGGAUGGCUUGGAUUUGGGAGAGGGAUGCGGAAUUCCAGGUGUAGCGGUGAAAUGCGUAGAUAUCUGGAGGAACACCGGUGGCGAAGGCGGCAUCCUGGACCAAUAUUGACGCUGAGGAGCGAAAGCCAGGGGAGCAAACGGG
rnacentral:rRNA from 1 species